rnacentral:rRNA from 1 species
AUGAAGGAUAUGUCAUAUGUUCAGUUCCUUACAUUUUUCUAUGGUGUAUGUACACUGCAUUCGAGGGAGAGGACGGCAAGAGUAAGAAAGCCUUGCGGCAUGAAGGCAGUAGCACGCAGGGCCAAAUCAAGUGCAUUGACCUCAAUGGCAAGAGACCAGUACCGUCAGCCCAGCAUCAAACAUUACCCUUAA